rnacentral:rRNA from 1 species
GAUGAACGCUGGCGGCGUGCCUAAUACAUGCAAGUCGAGCGAACAGACGAGGAGCUUGCUCCUCUGACGUUAGCGGCGGACGGGUGAGUAACACGUGGAUAACCUACCUAUAAGACUGGGAUAACUUCGGGAAACCGGAGCUAAUACCGGAUAAUAUAUUGAACCGCAUGGUUCAAUAGUGAAAGACGGUUUUGCUGUCACUUAUAGAUGGAUCCGCGCCGCAUUAGCUAGUUGGUAAGGUAACGGCUUACCAAGGCAACGAUGCGUAGCCGACCUGAGAGGGGGAUCGGCCACACGGGAACGGAGAAACGGCCCAGACUCCUACGGGAGGCAGGAGGAGGGAAUUUUCCGAAAGGGGGGAAAGCCUGACGGAGAAACGCCGCGUGGGGGAGGAAGGUUUUGGGAUCGUAAAACUUUUUUUUUAGGGAAAAAAAAAUGGGAAAGUAACUAUGCACGUUUUGACGGUACCAAACCAAAAAACCACGGCUAACUACGU